ensembl:lncRNA
AUGACUAGAUUCAUUUACAUCUGUUAUGAGUCUAUUGUAGGAGGGGAAGCAGCCUGCUUGUUCUCCUGUUGCUGUGUUCACAUGGAACCAUCCUCACGUGCCUUUCCCAGAAGAUGUGAAGGCACUGGAGAAACAGUACCAUGUGGAGUGUGUCCUAAGGAACAUGACAGAUGGAGCCGCCAUUGACUGAGAUGAGGAAGACGUGCAGGCCUUUCCUAUUAAAGUGAUAAAUGCUUACAAAACAGAUACCCAGCUACAUAACCAAGCAGAUUGAAUGGGACUGGGGGACAUUUCACAACAGUGAUUUUGAUUCUUCAAACUUUUGGAGACAAAACAACUUUCAGAUGAAGAAUGAAAUUUGAAGCCAGAAUAGCAUGCGAUGAAAAACAUUUUAAAUCCAUGCCUUCUUUUUGAAGUUCUAUCUUUUUGGAUGCUCAAGAGUGAGUUGGAUUUGCAGCCACAAAUCAAAUGUUCAGAAAUCCUUGGCUGUCUGAGCCUGGCGGCCCUCAUCCAGCCAGCUGGACGAUAAAACACCUGGGCUGAUUCUAUUUAUUCUGGAGGGGAGGAGCAAGGCUGUGCAAAACAACAUGAAGAAAGACUCGCCUUUGCAAAAUUGCAAUGUAUCUAAAAUUUUGUUGUCUUCUCAUUGUCGUUGUGGUAUCUGUUCUUCCUCGGUCUUUUACAUGUUCCCAGUGCCCCCCAUUUGGAGAGUCCAGAGUGAUGCUCCUUGAUCAGAGGUCAGUGUAUCACCUCAUUGCCUUAUUUUAGGGUUUGUCAACCCCACCACUCAUACAAACGUGUUACCUUUGCCACUCUCUCCUUACUCUGCUUUCUAGAUGAAAAUAGUAAAAAUUUUCAGUAAACUGAUCAUUUGUGAAGGUAGUCUAUCAGGGUCUUAGUCAGCUUGGGCUGCUAUGAGAAAAUACCAUAGACUGAGUGGUUUGAACAAGGGAAAUUUACUUUUCACAGUUCUAGAGGCUGGAAGCCCAAGAUCAGGGUGCUGGUAUGGUGUGGUUCUGGUGAGAGCUCUUUUGCUGGCAUGCAGAUGUCUGCCUUCUCGUUCUAUCCUUAUCUAGGAAACAGAGAGGGGGUGGGCCAGAGAGAGUGAGAGCAUGCUCCUCCCUCGGCUUCCGUUAAGAACACUAAUCCCAUCAUGGGGGCUCCAUUCUCAUGACUUCAUCUCAACUUAAUUACCUUCUGAAGGCCCCACCUCCAAAUACCAUCACACUUGUGAUUAGGACUUCCUAUGAAUUUUGGUGGGGCACGAAUAUUCAGUCCAUAGAAAUCAAGUCAUUUUUGUGUCUUUCUAAGGAAAUCUAUUUAAAUCUCUCUAGUAGGUAUAGCAGAUAAGGGGCAGUAUAGCAGAUAAGGGGCAGGAAAAUGAGUGAGUAAAUGAAGUAUUUUAGCAAUGGCCAGUUCUUUAGCCCUCUUCCAAAUGUUUUAACCACUCAAGAGACAUUAACCUCUGUCUGGAGCUGGUCCAGGAUAGGUGUGGUUCAGUCAAUAGAGGUAUGACAUCUUUUUUCCAUCUCCUACACAAAGGAAGCAUUCUGCUCUGCUUGUCCUGUGCCCAAUGACACUCACAGGUAGCUACAGCAGGAAAGGUGACUGUUUACAGUAGGCUAACCCCCCUGCAAUCCCAGCCAGAAGUCAACUAUUCUGCUUCUGAAGAGGUAAAGACUACUGCCUUAUGAGGAUAUUCCUUAAACAAUGUGGCUGGUUUUUCAGCGUUGGCAAUAAGGGAAUGAGUAAACGAAUCUGGAGGACGCAACAUUAGGAACUAGGAAGUGAGUGCCAAGAACCAUCUGAGCAGCAGGCAGGAGACAAGACCGGUAGAACUGGGGAGGCAGGAGUCAGCAGUGGGAGAGGAGAGCUGAACAAGCAGCUCCUGCCGAGUUGUCUGGUACCCGCAGCAGAAAGCAGGUGUGAUCAGGAUAUUGGAAUAGAGCUGCCAAACAAGGGAGGAGGGGAGGCAAGCCCAAAUCCCAUCUGAGGUCUCAGGGACAGGGUCUAGAGAUUUAAGGGGAAUGGAAAAGUCAGGAGACGAAUGAGUAGGGUAAAAGGAAUAUGCACCAGAGCUGAGGAGGCUAAUUUAACUGACUUCUUUGGCCAUUCUCUUGGUAGAAGGCAAUACCUUGUGGUAGAAUAAAGGAUAUUAGGUGUCUUCA